UACGUAGGUGGCAAGCGUUGUCCGGAUUUACUGGGCGUAAAGGGUGCGUAGGUGGUUAGGUAAGUCCGAUGUGAAAUCUCCAGGCUCAACCUGGAAAUGGCAUUGAAUACUACCUUGCUAGAGUACCGGAGAGGAAACUGGAAUUUACGGUGUAGCAGUGAAAUGCGUAGAGAUCGUAAGGAAGACCAGUGGCGAAGGCGAGUUUCUGGACGGUAACUGACGCUGAGGCACGAAGGCCAGGGGAGCAAACGGG
rnacentral:rRNA from 1 species